GCUUUUACACCCCUGAUCAGGGUUUUAGAAGCAAAGCGAAGAGUGAGUGAGAACCGCGGACGGGGUGGCCUCUCUCUCUCUCUCUCUCUCUCUCUCUCUCUCUCUCUCAACCGUCUCAGUCCCUAGGGUUUGGUAGCAGCUGGAAUAAAAAAUCGAAGGAAAUGGUUUCAUCUGAUGAUAACCGAUUGGCCACUGAGGCUGUGGAGAAAGUGACAGAUUCAGAGAAGAAGAAGAAGAAGAAGCAUAGGGACAAAGACAGCGAUUUUGACAAAGACUUCAUGAUCAAGCCCCAGGGCUCAACUCCCUCCUUGGACACCUCUCAGUGGCCUAUCCUUCUCAAAAACUAUGACCGACUCAAUGUUCGAACUGGACAUUACACCCCUCUACCCUCGGGGUUCUCCCCACUUAAGCGGCCUCUUGCCGAGUACAUCCGAUACGGUGUUCUCAAUCUUGACAAGCCUGCAAACCCCUCUUCACACGAGGUAGUUGCUUGGAUUAAGCGCAUCCUUCGCGUUGAGAAAACUGGCCACAGCGGUACUCUGGAUCCUAAGGUUACAGGUAAUCUCAUUGUCUGCAUUGACCGAGCCACACGACUUGUCAAGUCCCAGCAGGGUGCAGGGAAAGAGUAUGUUUGUGUUGCCCGCUUGCAUUCAGCUGUGCCUGAUGUUGCCAAAGUGGCUCGGGCCCUUGAAUCUCUUACUGGGGCUGUCUUUCAGAGGCCACCUUUGAUAUCAGCAGUCAAGAGGCAGCUUAGGAUUAGGACCAUCUAUGAAAGCAAACUUCUUGAGUUUGAUACGGAUAAACAUUUGGUCGUUUUCUGGAUUUCUUGCGAAGCAGGAACCUAUGUGCGGACACUCUGUGUGCAUUUGGGUCUGCUGCUUGGUGUGGGAGGUCAUAUGCAGGAGCUUAGGAGGGUCAGGUCUGGGAUUAUGGGCGAGAAAGACAACAUGGUUACAAUGCAUGAUGUCAUGGAUGCUCAGUGGGCUUAUGACACUAAUAGGGAUGAGAGUUAUUUGAGGAGGGUCAUCAUGCCUCUUGAGGUUCUCUUGACCAGUUAUAAGAGAUUGGUUGUCAAGGACUCAGCAGUGAAUGCCAUUUGCUACGGUGCCAAGUUAAUGAUUCCAGGGCUGCUUAGGUUUGAGAAUGAUAUCGAGGUUGGAGAGGAAGUUGUGCUGAUGACUACCAAAGGAGAAGCCAUUGCAUUGGGAAUUGCCGAGAUGACCACUGCUGUGAUGGCAACUUGUGAUCAUGGUGUGGUGGCAAAGAUUAAGAGGGUGGUAAUGGAUCGGGAUACUUACCCAAGGAAGUGGGGAUUGGGACCAAGGGCGUCUAUGAAGAAGAAAUUGAUUGCCGAAGGGAAAUUGGAUAAGCAUGGGAAGCCCAUUGAGAAUACUCCGCAAGAAUGGAUGAGGAAUGUGGUUUUGUCUGCAGGUGGGGAUUCUAUUGUUGCAAGAACUGCUGCUGCGCUUGACACUGAACCUGCUGUGGCAGAGAAGGAGACCGCUCUCGUAGACAAGGAGAAGAAGAAGAAGAAGAAAAAGGACAAACAUAAGGAUGAAGAGGAAACUAAGGAGGGGCGUAAACGCAAACUAGAGGAACCCACAGAGAGCCCUGUUCCAGUUGCUGUAAAGAAAAGCAAAGGCGAAGAAGUAGGGCCUGAAAUUGAGAAGUCCGAAAAGAAAAAGAAGAAAAAGGACAAAGAGAAUGGCACUGUGGAUAACGUUGAAGCUGGUUCACCUGAAACAGAAAAGUCAGAGAAGAAAAAGAAGAAGAAAAACAAAGACGCUGAGGACAAUGGUGCUGUGGCUUCUGCCGGCGCUGGUGAUGGCGAGGCUAAUAAGAGUGAGAAAAAGAAGAAAAAGAAGAGGAGUAAAGCAGAUGCAGAAGAUUAGAGGGACUUUGGAUUAGAAUCCUUGAGUGGCAGAACUUUUCAAUUUGUCUACCCUUUCAGAGUGACCCCAAACUUCAGCAGCAUCAUUGUCCGAGUCGAGUGAACUCAUGGAUGCAGGCAAGGCAGCUGCUGCUCGAAAUGAAGCGCCACCAUACACAAGAUGCAAGCGGCAACCAGCUAAGGCGAUUCGAUCACCAGAAAGAAGAAAAGUAUAACAUCACCCAUUAAGGCCCUGUCAUAACUUUGAGUGCUGUCUCCAGGGGCAUCCGCCUUCAAAAGCCUGCUCUAACACAUCUUCCAUUCGCUUUGC